UCAAGAUCUUGCGUGCCACGUUCUUUGUAUUUCCUCACCUGCCUCUUGAGCUGGAAGCUGUUAAUGCGUUCUAUUCAUCUUUACCGGGGGUGGAGUGGGUGUCCUGGAGAUGCCAAGGCUCUUUGCACAGAGCCACACCUGGCCCAGGAGUCAGAGAAGCUGAAGGAAGACUCAGGGAAAGGUGAAGCAGUUAGUGACACGGCCACUGCCUCCUGCCAAUGAAGAGACAGCAGAUGACCAACACAUGUCAGCUGUAAAACGACUGAUGGUUCUCUUCCACACUCCAAAGCUCCUGCAAGACUCUCCCGCGUGGCCCAUGCUAACUGAAAACACAUAGGAAGGAGAAUCCUUGGAAAUGAAAAUCAAUCUAACCAAACUGAGACAUUACAAAGCCCCCAUCCUUACUCUAUAGUUCAAUGGUUAUGCACAGAAGUCCUGGAAUCAGAUUUCACGGGUUGGAAUGGUGGCUGCUUUAUUCCAAACUGCGUAUCCAAAGACUGACAGGAUCUAAGGCACACACACUUCCGCCCAGUGUGUUUUCAGGCUGACAGGGCUGGAAACCUGAACCCCAGUCAGAGUAUGGCUUCUGACUCCACAGGUCAGUAUGCUACAAAUUGUGCCACGGAGACUGGGCCUAUUAUUGAUUGAUUAUCAAUAAGAUCUGGUCCAUUUCUAAAAGUUCAAUAAAUAUCAUCUACUAUUG